rnacentral:rRNA from 1 species
CUGGCUCAGGAUGAACGCCGGCGGUGUGCCUAAUACAUGCAAGUCGUACGCACUGGCCCAACUAAUUGAUGGUGCUUGCACCUGAUUGACGAUGGAUCACCAGUGAGUGGCGGACGGGUGAGUAACACGUAGGUAACCUGCCCCGGAGCGGGGGAUAACAUUUGGAAACAGAUGCUAAUACCGCAUAACAACAAAAGCCACAUGGCUUUUGUUUGAAAGAUGGCUUUGGCUAUCACUCUGGGAUGGACCUGCGGUGCAUUAGCUAGUUAGUAAGGUAACGGCUUACCAAGGCGAUGAUGCAUAGCCGAGUUGAGAGACUGAUCGGCCACAAUGGAACUGAGACACGGUCCAUACUCCUACGGGAGGCAGCAGUAGGGAAUCUUCCACAAUGGGCGCAAGCCUGAUGGAGCAACACCGCGUGAGUGAAGAAGGGUUUCGGCUCGUAAAGCUCUGUUGUUGGAGAAGAACGUGCGUGAGAGUAACUGUUCACGCAGUGACGGUAUCCAACCAGAAAGUCACGGCUAACUACGUGCCAGCAGCCGCGGUAAUACGUAGGUGGCAAGCGUUAUCCGGAUUUAUUGGGCGUAAAGCGAGCGCAGGCGGUUGCUUAGGUCUGAUGUGAAAGCCUUCGGCUUAACCGAAGAAGUGCAUCGGAAACCGGGCGACUUGAGUGCAGAAGAGGACAGUGGAACUCCAUGUGUAGCGGUGGAAUGCGUAGAUAUAUGGAAGAACACCAGUGGCGAAGGCGGCUGUCUGGUCUGCAACUGACGCUGAGGCUCGAAAGCAUGGGUAGCGAACAGGAUUAGAUACCCUGGUAGUCCAUGCCGUAAACGAUGAGUGCUAGGUGUUGGAGGGUUUCCGCCCUUCAGUGCCGGAGCUAACGCAUUAAGCACUCCGCCUGGGGAGUACGACCGCAAGGUUGAAACUCAAAGGAAUUGACGGGGGCCCGCACAAGCGGUGGAGCAUGUGGUUUAAUUCGAAGCUACGCGAAGAACCUUACCAGGUCUUGACAUCUUGCGCUAACCUUAGAGAUAAGGCGUUCCCUUCGGGGACGCAAUGACAGGUGGUGCAUGGUCGUCGUCAGCUCGUGUCGUGAGAUGUUGGGUUAAGUCCCGCAACGAGCGCAACCCUUGUUACUAGUUGCCAGCAUUAAGUUGGGCACUCUAGUGAGACUGCCGGUGACAAACCGGAGGAAGGUGGGGACGACGUCAGAUCAUCAUGCCCCUUAUGACCUGGGCUACACACGUGCUACAAUGGACGGUACAACGAGUCGCAAGCUCGCGAGAGUAAGCUAAUCUCUUAAAGCCGUUCUCAGUUCGGACUGUAGGCUGCAACUCGCCUACACGAAGUCGGAAUCGCUAGUAAUCGCGGAUCAGCAUGCCGCGGUGAAUACGUUCCCGGGCCUUGCACACACCGCCCA